rnacentral:lncRNA from 1 species
ACCCGCAAAACAGCGAGUUGGCUGGCAGCAGAGCUCUCAAAAGAAGGCCACCAGGUGGCUCUGCUGAGUGGCGAAAUGGUGGUGGAACAGAGGGCUGCAGUGAUUGAGCGCUUCCGAGAGGGCAAAGAGAAGGUUCUGGUCACCACCAACGUGUGUGCCCGCGGAAUCGAUGUCGAACAGGUGUCCGUCGUCAUCAACUUUGACCUGCCCGUGGACAAGGACGGGAACCCGGACAACGAGACCUACCUGCACCGGAUCGGGCGCACCGGCCGCUUUGGCAAGAGGGGCCUGGCGGUGAACAUGGUGGACAGCAAGCACAGCAUGAACAUCCUCAACAGGAUCCAGGAGCAUUUCAACAAGAAAAUAGAAAGACUGGACACGGAUGAUUUGGACGAGAUUGAGAAAAUAGCCAACUGAGAAGCUCCAGCCGUCACUGGUGCCCGCCCUUGGCGCUCCCCCUGCACGGGACACUAGUGCUCAUGGCCGAGCCUGGGCAGUCACCACAGAGACGAAGGAGGCACGGAUAGCGAGAAACUACCUACCUCAUUUAAAUUACGUUUGGACUUGGCAAAAAUUGUGCAAAUCAUGGGGGAAGGUAGACAAAAUUGUUUACACAACUUGUGAAGAUUAGGCGUGAAUACACAGAAAUUUACCUUUUGGAAAUUCCAUCUUUUUUUUUUUAAGCCAGUGGCUUUCCCAAUAUAAUGCUAAUCUAGAUGUAGCUAAUCACUUGCUCAGGAGCCUUUGUGGCAGCCCCUGCCUGUUCUCUGCUUAGGACUGUUCUGGCCAGCCUCCAGCCCUUGUAGAAGUGACAGAAUAUAGGUGAAGAGGGAACAGAGAAAGAGAGAAAGACCCCAAGUGGAGUAGGUGCGUAAGCCAGUCAUCACAUUUGGAAUAUGGUGUGAGGCAGCAGAAGAGACCUGUGAGCUGCUGCUUUUGAUUGGGGUUGGGAAAGCUCAUAUGAAUGUUGUCAGCCCCCUCUGUCCUGAUGCCCAGGGCAGGAAGAGUCUGCUAAGCAUGGACCAAGGUGCCAACUUGGGAUCUUUGGUGUAUGCAAUCUGUGCUGCAAACCAUAACGUACUCUUUUCAGCAGGUGCAAUCUGUGUAGAAUGCACACCUGAUACCUGUUGGGUCCCUUGCUUCUUUCUGCUUGAGCAAAUCCGAGAAGUCACCAUGGAGAAUUAGUGGUUUUCCUAUCUUGCCAAAAAACCUGAUCUGGUGGGCACUCGUAUCUUUUUCACACCCCUAAUAUCACCUUGACCCCUUAGUAGCCCCAAGCAAAUAAAAGGUGAUCUGAGGUUUGGAUCCUUUUUGAAAAUUGUGGUUUCAAGUUGCUAAGGAUCAGUCUCAAGACAGCUCCAGAAGUGAUCAGCAGUGGUCACAAAUCCUUGCUUUAUUUCCAGAUCCUAGAAGGCAAGUUUUUAAUCAGCUGGAGAAUGAUUUCAGAAAUGUGGCCAUCUUGAUUAUAAAGCUAUUCUGAACAUCUGCAUUCACAGUGCCUGGAAUACAAACAGUUGCAACUAAGGGACAAGGUGGACUACAGCUAUUCCUCUUUCCAAGGCAAGAGCAGCUGCCAAGGCCUUCGCUCCAUCCUUACUUGGCAUCUUUGUACAAAAUAGAGCAAAUAAUAGUAAUGGACUUUUCUCAUACCUGGCAGAGCUUUGGUACCCAGAGAGUGACAGAGCAAAGGUGAGAUAAAACCGAGUUGCAAGAGCAAGACGAAACCCCAGCCCAAAGGAAUCUUCUUCAGCUCUUUGAUAGGGAAAGGCCAGCUUAUCUACGACCAGGCCUGGAAGAUAGAUUUUCUGUGAUGAGAACUACUCUAAUCCCAGACUUUGUAGGCACAUCUGUUUUUUAGAGCUAAUUUGUCUCCUGGGAAGGGGAAGGGCUAAUGUCAGUCUCCAGUGGUUUCCAUGAUCUGACCUCACAGAUUACCAAUCCUGCCACAUCCCCCUGUAGGCACUUGACUGUUGUGUCUUGCUUGUAUAUCUGGCCAACUCUGACCCACCUUGGAAGUCUCUUAAGAAGAGAAGAAAUGUUAUACCUCCACCUGCCCUCUGCAAAGUCCUGUGGACCAGCUCUGAAAUAACUUAAAACAAAGGCAAUAAUUAAAGGAGUACAGACUGCUCCUGAGGCUGCAGGCCGGGUACAUCGCUGCCCUCUCAUAAUAUGUAUAUAUAACCUGUCUACUGAGUGGCUCUAAAUCUGAGCAGGGAAGCGGGAAGUGGUGUGCUUCAGACUCUUCAAUAGUAGGAAUAAAUGGGUGUCUGGUAGAAAUCUAGAUCAACAGUUCUUUAUAUGGGAGCUUGGGCCCCGAAGAAUUCAGUGGUCGGGUUUCAUGGAGUAUAUGGGAAGUACAUGCGGUGUUUUGAUUUUAAAUGCAUUUUCUUUGGGAGAAACUCCCCCAAACUAUGUGUCUUUUAAAAAAAUAAGUCACUGUAUGGAUGGCUCUGAAAUGUCCUCCCAUUGUCAUUGCAGUUCACAUUCCUUCACAGUCCAUACCUUUUCCUGCCAAUGCUCAGCUUCUGCAGUGUAAUGGUCCACAGUUGCCUUUGUGACCUUGUGCCAUUUUGAGAUAUGAGUGAUGUAAAAAUGUACUGAGCCCUUGAAGAGCUUCAGUCCCUAAAGUUUCUUUUACUGUUUUUAUUAAGUUCCUAUGUAUAGGACAAUAAACUGUGCCCUAGAACAGAGAAACUCGCUUGAGAGAAGGAGAUUUUAGCCCAGAAGAAAAUUUUCAAUAUGUUCAUUAUCCAUAAACAAUGGAUUUUAUUGGUUUUUUUGAGUGUUUAUUGGCUGUAUGCAUAAGAACAAAUCAGCUGUUAAUGCAUUUUUUUAUUGAUUGUAAUUGGACUUAAUUAUGACGUGUUGUUCGUAGUACUAAGACAUCAGUUCUGAGUAUAAGAAGAAAACAGCAGCACCUUUUGGUUGCUGGUAUUGGUGAAGAUUUAUGUCAUAUUUCACAGACUAGUCAGCACCUGAUAUUCCACUUGAGAGUUGACAGUGCUCCAGCCUGAGCAGUUGGGAUGUUUCCAUCAGCCAAGAGCCCAGCUCCUUACAUUCCUCUUUCUCCUGCUGGUAAACCAGAGGAUGCUGGCUAACUAAUCAGAAAGAAGGUACAUGCCAGCAAUACAAGUCCUUACACUCUAUUUUCCAGUCCUAGGAAAGGAAUACAAAUAGGACAUGGAAAUGAGUCUUCUCCCUUUGUCGUUCUCAUCCCGUUUAUGAUUUAAUAUGAAGGCUACUUCAUUCAAAGUGUCUUUGGCAUUCAGCAGGUAAAGAUUCCUGAGGUUAGAGAUGAUUUCAUGGAAGAAUGGAGCUUGCUUAUGAGAGAAAAGUGGGAUUCCGAGUGCCAAGGAGAGUGCCUGAGGCAGACAAGGCCCUAUUCAGACCAAAGCAACCUCACCAGGAUAAAUGCGGUACCCUGGAAGGGCACUGAGGGGAGCAGCUUCGCCACAGGGGCAGAGAAAAGUCUUACUAGAUUAAAAAAUGAAGAUUUGAUUAUUUCAACAGUAUUUGGAUUUAGCAAUAAAUUAUCAUGGCUUCUUAGAUUACAGGAAGUGAUAAAAUGGUUUUUUGGGAAAAAUGGUCUAGCAGAGAUAUACAGGAUAUGGUGGAGCUGGAAAAAACUGGCAUCUGAGAAACCAUUUAGAAGAUUAUUGUAUCCGUCAUCACACAGCAAGUGCCAGGAUGUCAUUGGUCAUAUGGAGAAGACGAAGAAAAGGACUGGAAGGAUAGUGCAGAGGAGGGAUGGUAGGCUUUUAUACCUACUUACAGUUGUUAUUCCAAAAAAUCUGAGGUUCUUAAAAUUUAGACGUCAUUAUAUAAAAAUAAUUCUGGGAAGAAACCCAAAGGGAAGAUUUGGGAAGAACAGAUGACAUUAGGGUUGAGUCAUGAGUGAAUGACUCAUGAAUGAUGUCAGGCCCAUUGCCUUUGCAAGAAGGGCCCCUCUUCUUCACCAACACCCCCAAGCUACUGUAGACUUCAGGGGCCCUCUUCAGGAUUCUUUUUUGUUGUUGUUGUUGUUGUUGUUGUUGUUGCUAUUUCUUGGGCCGCUCCCGCGGCAUAUGGAGGUUCCCAGGCUAGGGGUUGAAUCGGAGCUGUAGCCACCGGCCUACGCCAGAGCCACAGCAACGNCCUCUUCUUCACCAACACCCCCAAGCUACUGUAGACUUCAGGAGCCCUCUUCAGGAUUCUUUUGAUCCUGAACACAGGUAACAGGUUCUCAGGAACCCCCUGCAGUUUUACCUGACUUGGUUUCUUGCUUGAGAAUGAAUGUUCCUUAAUCUGUUGACUGACUCAGAUUGCAACAUCUUCCAAAAUGAUACAGUGGAGGUGAGGGAACCUGAAGGACUGGUGCUUGGAGGCUCCAGUACUCUGCUUUCCUAAUCCUGAAUCUGGAACAGGGCCUCCCCACAACAGCUUCAGAUACCUAGUGGGAAGUUAGAGGCCAGGCGAGGAUCUGCCUGGAGGAUGUCUGUCACACUCCUGCACUGUGCCUUCUCUUUCUCCAGUCCCUGUUAGAUGCUUAUGCCUUGGCUUAGAAACUGUUCUGGCAUUAGCAUUCAGCAGAGCAAGUGGAAUCUCCUUAGUAGUCCUAAUUGUCAAAUGGGGAAUAGGAGAAGGAGAAAAAGAAUAGUAGAUGAAGGCUGAGAGUGGUGGCUGUCUGGGAUGUCAGCGGCACACGUGAGACACUUGUAGUCUCUGCUUUGUCAACUAUCUCAUCAGCAGAGGUGCCUGGGUGGCAGAUCUUUCUUUUGUGCAGCCCUACAGCCCAGGACUACAGCCAGCUUCUCCCAGAGGAAGCAGGGUGGGGAAGGGGCCUGUUUAAAUGGAACUCUCCUGGAAGUACCAGUACACAUUUUGUGAGUCUUAACAACUGUUAUAUCCUCAUCCAUCUGCUUCCAGCAUCCUUGGAAUUACACAACUGGAGAAAUGCCAGUAGUCUCAGUUUAUCCCUGAGAGCAAAGGUUCCCAUGCUAAGACUCGAAAGAAUGUGAGCUAGUCCUGAUCAGGUUGUAUGGCCAAGUGUGCUAGGCAAAUUAUUUUCUGGUCUUUGUUCUCUUAGACACUAAUAGCUUCUAAAUUUGCAUGGAAAUUGUCCUGAUAAACCAAUGCCAUUUGAAUCCAAUUUAACAAUAAAACGCCAUUGUUGUG